AGUGAACGCUGGCGGUGGGCCUAACACAUGCAAGUCGAACGGCAGCACAGUAAGAGCUUGCUCUUACGGGUGGCGAGUGGCGGACGGGUGAGGAAUACAUCGGAAUCUACUUUUUCGUGGGGGAUAACGUAGGGAAACUUACGCUAAUACCGCAUACGACCUACGGGUGAAAGCAGGGGAUCUUCGGACCUUGCGCGAUUGAAUGAGCCGAUGUCGGAUUAGCUAGUUGGCGGGGUAAAGGCCCACCAAGGCGACGAUCCGUAGCUGGUCUGAGAGGAUGAUCAGCCACACUGGAACUGAGACACGGUCCAGACUCCUACGGGAGGCAGCAGUGGGGAAUAUUGGACAAUGGGCGCAAGCCUGAUCCAGCCAUACCGCGUGGGUGAAGAAGGCCUUCGGGUUGUAAAGCCCUUUUGUUGGGAAAGAAAAGCAGCAGGUUAAUACCCCGCUGUUCUGACGGUACCCAAAGAAUAAGCACCGGCCAACUUCGUG
rnacentral:rRNA from 1 species